GACGAACGCUGGCGGCGUGCUUAACACAUGCAAGUCGAACGGAAAGGCCCUGCUUUUGUGGGGUGCUCGAGUGGCGAACGGGUGAGUAACACGUGAGUAACCUGCCCUUGACUUUGGGAUAACUUCAGGAAACUGGGGCUAAUACCGGAUAGGAGCUCCUGCUGCAUGGUGGGGGAUGGAAAGUUUCGGCGGUUGGGGAUGGACUCGCGGCUUAUCAGCUUGUUGGUGGGGUAGUGGCUUACCAAGGCUUUGACGGGUAGCCGGCCUGAGAGGGUUACCGGCCACAUUGGGACUGCGAUACGGCCCAGACGCCUACGGGAGGCAGCAGUGGGGAGUAUUGCACAAUGGGCGGAAGCCUGAUGCAGCAACGCCGCGUGCGGGAUGACGGCCUUCGGGUUGUAAACCGCUUUCGCCUGUGACGAAGCGUGAGUGACGGUAAUGGGUAAAGAAGCACCGGCUAACUACGUG
rnacentral:rRNA from 1 species